rnacentral:rRNA from 1 species
AUUCCAGCUCCAAUAGCGUAUAUUAAAGUUGUUGCGGUUAAAAAGCUCGUAGUUGGAUUUCUGCCGAGGACGACCGGUCCGCCCUCUGGGUGAGCAUCUGGCUCGGCCUGGGCAUCUUCUUGGAGAACGUAUCUGCACUUGACUGUGUGGUGCGGUAUUCAGGACUUUUACUUUGAGGAAAUUAGAGUGUUUCAAGCAGGCAUACGCCUUGAAUACAUUAGCAUGGAAUAAUAAGAUAGGACCUCGGUUCUAUUUUGUUGGUUUCUAGGACCGAAGUAAUGAUUAAUAGGGACAGUUGGGGGCAUUAGUAUUUAAUUGUCAGAGGUGAAAUUCUUGGAUUUAUGAAAGACUAACUACUGCGAAAGCAUUCGCCAAGGAUGUUUUCAUCG